AUGAAUAUUGCCCUUCAAUCCCGGUGGCUGUGGCGUAUCACGCAGGGUCAUGGUGGCCUCUGGCUGGACAUUAUCCGGAACAAGUACCUGCGUGGUCAACCCCUUGCCUUCUGCCAGAAAUCGAGAGGUUCUCAGUUCUGGCAGUCCCUCGUCCAGCUUCUUCCGGUGCUCCGCAUUGGUACCUCUAUCUCGGUGGGGUCCGGCCUCUCGACGCUCUUCUGGUUUGAUCGCUGGGCCGGCGACUCUCCCUUUGCGGCCCGCUUCCCCACCCUCUUCUCUAUCGCUGUCGUCCCCAUGAUCUCUGUUGAUAGGGCCCUUCUUGACUUAGGGCGCCUCGCUUUCCGUCGGCCAUUUGGGCCGGCGGAAUCCGCCGCCUGGCGUGAGUUGCUUGACUGCGUUGCUCUGCAUGAGCCGGUGGUGGAUGGGGAUCAGGAUCUUGUGCGCUGGCACCUGGAUCCGUCGGGCCAGUUCUCUACCAAAUCGCUAUACUUGGCCAUUGCCCCCUCCUCCGCUCCCCUCCCCCUAUCGAUGGUGUGGUCCGUCCGCGUCCCCCUGAAGAUUCGCAUCUUCAUGUGGCAGUGGAUCCGUGGCCCGGACACUGGUAUCUGCCCCCUCUGUGCUGUUCCCGAGGACUCCAACCACAUCUUCUUCACCUGCGUCUCCGCCCGGUUCCUCUGGAGCUGCUUUCGCGAGAUUGUCGGUGGGAGUUGGUGCCACACCAAUUUCCCGGACUUAUUUGCUGAACUCCAAUUGUCCCCUUCGUCCUCUCGCCAUAUUAGGUGGCUCGAGGUUGGGGUCCUUACCUGGACGCUUUGGACCGUUCGUAAUAAGCUAGUGAUCCAGCGUACUCCUCUUCGUCGCGCUACUGAUACUCUCUACAAAUUCUCGGGUUUCUUGCAGUUUUGGCGGCCGCUUAGCCGCCCCCUGGAUCGGGACGCCAUCUCUGCCUUCAUCGCCGAUCUCCGCUCGAUGGCCGUCCGCCUGUCGCCGCCGCCUCCGCCGGAGCCUGACUAG
rnacentral:rRNA from 1 species